rnacentral:lncRNA from 1 species
AAGUGGGUCAAUGUCUUAAAAAGUAGACUUUUAGAUCUAGUGGGGGUUUUUAAGUUUUCUUGCAAUCUAUGAGUUGGAUUGGAGUGAAACUUACAUGAGAGGAUAUUAGACUUAUUUUUCUAUGUGUAUGAGAUUUUUAAGAUCAAUCGAACGGUGCAAAGGAGAGAUAUUGGCUCUAGAAGAUUGGCAUUAAGUUUGGAGAAGGAGGCCGGCCAAUACCCGAGCACAUUUUUGAAGUUGUUGUCAAUUUGGUAACUCCGAUCCUUUUUAAUUUUUUUGUGCUUGUUUUUAACUUAUUUUUUUAGAAAUUUGAAAAAUUUGAGUUAAGAUCAAGAGUUUAUUCAUUAGUAAUUGAGGUUUAAAUCUAUUAUAGGAAUUACUAGGAUUUUGUUUAGGAUUUGGUUAGGAUUUGAUUUAGGGUUUAGAAUUUAGUUAGGGUUUGAUUUAGGAUUUAGAAUUUGGAUUAGGAUUUGGUUUAGGGUUUAGAGUUUGGAUUAAGAUUUGGUUUAGGAUUUAAGAUUUGGAUUAGGAUUUGAUUUAGGAUUUAGGAUUUGGUUUAGGAUUUGGUUAGGAUUUGAUUUAGGAUUUGGUUGGCAUUUGGUUUAAGGUUUGUUUAGGGUUUGAUUUAGGAUUUAGGAUUUUAUAAAGAUUUAAGAUUCAAUUAUUUUUAGUCUAAAGUUUGAAUAAAAUUCAAUAGGAUUUUAACUAGAAUUAAAUUAAGAUUGAAUUGAGAUGUAUUUGAGUGAUAUUUGUGAUCCUUUAAAUAUUUCUUUAAGAGUUUUUAUUGUUUGUUUGAAAUUUCUUUGAGAUUUUUUUGAAUUUGAUUAAGCUUGUUUAGCAUUAUUAUAGUCUAAUUAGAGCAUUGUUAGUAUUCUAUUAGAAUUAGGAUUUUAUUAUUGUAAUUUCCAUUCUUCCUUCCACAGCCAGGUGCCCAGAGCAUUCUCAAGCAAGACUUCACGUAUUAUGACAACGGGUAUCGAUUGGAAGUCUAAACUCUUUGCGACUUUAUGGGCAUAUCGUAUCGCAUAUAAAGUAACUAUCAACACUACUUCGUUCCAAUUAGUUCAUGGACAAGAGACAAUUUUACUUAUCGAGUUGGAGGUUCAAAGUUUAUGGAUUACUUUCGACAAACGUCUCAAUAACAAUGAGCCAUUACACUCUUGAUUAGUGAAAUUGUAGGAAUUA